AUUGAACGCUGGCGGCAUGCCUUACACAUGCAAGUCGAACGGUAACAGGUUAAGCUGACGAGUGGCGAACGGGUGAGUAAUGUAUCGGAACGUGCCCAGUCGUGGGGGAUAACUGCUCGAAAGAGCAGCUAAUACCGCAUACGACCUGAGGGUGAAAGCGGGGGAUCGCAAGACCUCGCGCGAUUGGAGCGGCCGAUAUCAGAUUAGGUAGUUGGUGGGGUAAAGGCCCACCAAGCCGACGAUCUGUAGCUGGUCUGAGAGGACGACCAGCCACACUGGGACUGAGACACGGCCCAGACUCCUACGGGAGGCAGCAGUGGGGAAUUUUGGACAAUGGGCGCAAGCCUGAUCCAGCCAUGCCGCGUGCGGGAAGAAGGCCUUCGGGUUGUAAACCGCUUUUGUCAAGGAAGAAAAGGUUCUGGCUAAUAUCCGGGACUCAUGACGGUACCUGAAGAAUAAGCACCGGCUAACUACGUGCCAGCAGCCGCCGUAAAAC
rnacentral:rRNA from 1 species